rnacentral:lncRNA from 10 species
ACCAGACAGAGCCACCUCCCGGCCUGAGUUCUAUGAAGGCAACAGAAAGAGGAAAUGGUGUUUCUGGAAGCUGGCCACGUAUGGGUACAUGAGAUAGUGGAGACAGUGUACAGUUUAGAACAAGGCAGAUGUGGGGCUGAUUCCCUGUUUUUCCAUUUACAGACUGAGUAACCUUCAGGCAAAUUAUGUAACAGCACACAGCCUCAUUAUCCUCAUCCUCAAAAUGGGUAUGAUAAUGCCCAUGAUAUUUAGCUGACAAUUAAAUUGACAACUUUCUUUUUUUAAUUCAUAUUUAUCACGUGCCAGGCAGGCACUGAGGACUUGACAAGCUUCAUCUUGGUUAAGUUUCCCAACAUCUGUGAUAAAUACCUGCAUUUUCAUUUUGGAAACUACAACUAAAGUAAUAUUUUCAUAUUCUCACAGUGAAAAUGUGGCAAAGCUGCAAUGAAUUCACCAUUUAGUCCAGACUCAGUCUUUAUUUUUAACCCUGACUAAUAACUAGAGUUGGGCUUUCUGAACUUUGUCUACUCCAAUGUCUGACACAGUGACUUCACCUCAGUGCCC